UACGUAGGUGGCAAGCGUUGUCCGGAUUUACUGGGCGUAAAGAGCGCGCAGGCGGUCGUUCAAGUCGCGUGUGAAAGCCCCCGGCUCAACUGGGGAGGGUCACGCGAUACUGAUCGACUCGAAGGCAGGAGAGGGUAGUGGAAUUCCCGGUGUAGUGGUGAAAUGCGUAAAUAUCGGGAGGAACACCAGUGGCGAAGGCGACUACCUGGCCUGUUUCUUGACGCUGAGGCGCGAAAGCUAGAGGAGCAAACGGG
rnacentral:rRNA from 1 species